rnacentral:rRNA from 1 species
CUGGCUCAGGAUGAACGCUAGCUACAGGCUUAACACAUGCAAGUCGAGGGGCAGCAUUAUCGAAGCUUGCUUUGAUAGAUGGCGACCGGCGCACGGGUGAGUAACGCGUAUCCAACUUCCCCAUAGUAGGGCAUAGCCCGUAGAAAUGCGGAUUAAUACCCUAUGUAUUCCGAGGAUGACAUCUGAUUCGGAACAAAGGUUUACCGCUAUGGGAUGGGGAUGCGUCUGAUUAGGUAGUAGGCGGGGUAACGGCCCACCUAGCCGACGAUCAGUAGGGUUCUGAGAGGAAGGUCCCCCACAUUGGAACUGAGACACGGUCCAAACUCCUACGGGAGGCAGCAGUGAGGAAUAUUGGUCAAUGGGCGAGAGCCUGAACCAGCCGAGUAGCCGUGCAGGAAGACGGCCCUAUGGGUUGUAAACUGCUUUUAUACAGGGAUAAAGUCGGGGACGUGUUCCCCGUUUGCAGGUACUGUAUGAAUAAGGACCGGCUAAUUCCGUGCCAGCCGCUGC